rfam:Oryza nivara chromosome 6, whole genome shotgun sequence.
AAAGACUCAAUUCCUGGGUUUUCGUGUCCAACAUUUAACCGUUUAUUUUAUAUAAUUUUUUUUAAUUACUAUUUUUAUCAUUGUUAGAUGAUAAAACAUGAAUAAUACUUUAUGCAUGACUUAUGUUUUAUUUAUUUUUUUAAAAAAAUCAAAUAAGAUAGACGGUUAAACGUUAGACACAGAAAUCUAGGAAUUGAGUUUUU